UACGAAGGGGGCUAGCGUUGUCCGGAAUCAUUGGGCGUAAAGCGCGUGUAGGCGGCCCGGUAAGUCCGCUGUGAAAGUCGAGGGCUCAACCCUCGAAAGCCGGUGGAUACUGUCGGGCUCGAGUGCGGGAGAGGCGAGUGGAAUUCCUGGUGUAGCGGUGAAAUGCGCAGAUAUCAGGAGGAACACCGAUUGCGAAGGCAGCUCGCUGGAACGUAACUGACGCUGAGACGCGAAAGCGUGGGGGAGCAAACAGG
rnacentral:rRNA from 1 species